UACGUAGGGUGCAAGCGUUGUCCGGAAUUAUUGGGCGUAAAGGGCUCGUAGGCGGUCCAUCGCGUCGGGAGUGAAAAGCUGGGGCUUAACCCCAGUCCUGCUUCCGAUACGGGUGGACUAGAGGUAGGUAGGGGAGAUCGGAAUUCCUGGUGUAGCGGUGAAAUGCGCAGAUAUCAGGAGGAACACCGGUGGCGAAGGCGGAUCUCUGGGCCUUACCUGACGCUGAGGAGCGAAAGCCAGGGGAGCAAACGGG
rnacentral:rRNA from 1 species